ACAACACUCAAUUUUUUUAGUCACAUUCAAGACAUUAAUGACACUAUUUUUAUUUUCCUUUUUUGAAUUUAGAUAUUUUUUCCAGUGCUUCGUCACGGUCACUAUUUUCUAGUUUGCAUCAAUAUUAAAGCUUCAAAAAUUGAAAUCAUUGACAGCAAGGCCUUAGUCUCUAGUGUAACAAGAAAGACAAGUAUGGAGACUGCACAAACCUCUUGGUUACAAGUUUAAAAGAAUACCUAGCAUUGGGGUCAUCUGCUCUAUUCUGGAUAGUGGAUGAGCUAACUGAAGAGGUUAUCAACAUGAAUUGGAAAGAAACAGAAAAUUAUAUUGACUGUGGACUAUUUGUAAUGCGGCAUAUGGAGACAUACAAUGGGACACUAAAGAAAUGGAACCCUGGAUUCAAAAGGAGGCAAGCUUAAAUGAAGAUUUCUUACUUGGACUGAGGGCCAAGUAUGCCGCAACAAUCACAAGGUGGCGUGCCAACAAAUUGAAAUACAGUGUCAUCAAGAAAACCAAAGUGUUGUACAACAAGAAAUGAACAAUUGGACAACUUUUUUCUUUUCCUUUGUUAAUUGAUUUGGAGAUGAAUGUAGGUUACAAGAGUAAAUGCAUUAGAAAGUAGAAAGAAGAUUGCAAAAGUUUUUAGGCAUUAGUGUGAAUUAUAAAACUUACUCAAAGGUGAAUAUUCAAUAGUUCCUUGUACUCCUAUAGAACUAUGGUUGUCCGAUGAACAUCUUUCAAUCCUUUUUUGUACAAAUCUUGCUAGUCCAAAAUCACUUA